UAUUCUCAGGGCGGGGCGUAAUUCCCCACCGGCGGUAAAUCAGCACAGGCUGAAAGCCCGCGAGCGCUUCGAAGCUACUGUUUUGAAGGACAGCAGAUCCGGUGAAAUUCCGGGGCCGACGGUAAUAGUCCGGAUGGGAGAGGAU
rnacentral:ncRNA from 1 species